rnacentral:rRNA from 1 species
UACGGAGGGUGCAAGCGUUAUCCGGAUUCACUGGGUUUAAAGGGUGCGUAGGUGGGGAUGUAAGUCAGUGGUGAAAUCUCCGUGCUUAACAUGGAAAUUGCCAUUGAUACUAUAUUUCUUGAAUUUUCCGGAGGUCAGCGGAAUAUGUCAUGUAGCGGUGAAAUGCUUAGAUAUGACAUAGAACACCAAUUGCGAAGGCAGCUGACUACAGGGAUAUUGACACUGAGGCACGAAAGCGUGGGGAUCAAACAGG